rnacentral:rRNA from 1 species
CAGGGCUUGACAUGGAGCUGCAAGCUCGUGAAAGCGAGUCGCUUUCGAAGGUGCUUCACAGGUGGUGCAUGGCUGUCGUCAGCUCGUGUUGUGAAAUGUUGGGUUAAGUCCCGCAACGAGCGCAACCCUCAUGUUUUGUUGCCAGCGGGUCAUGCCGGGAACUCGAAACAAACUGCCUCUGUAAAGAGGAGGAAGGUGGGGAUGACGUCAAGUCAUCAUGCCCCUUACGCCCUGGGCUGCACACAUGCUACAAUGGCCGGUACAAAGAGUCGCCAGCGCGCGAGCGUGAGCUAAUCUCAAAAAGCCGGUCUCAGUUCGGAUAGGAGGCUGCAACUCGCCUCCUUGAAGCCGGAAUCGCUAGUAACCGCCGGUCAGCAAUACGGCGGUGAAUACGUUCCC